AACGGUGGUGGCCAAGAGUUCAUAGUGACGUCGCAUUUGAUCCUUCGAUGUCAGCUCGUCCGAUCAUUGUGAAGCAUAAUUCACCAAGCGUUGGAUCGUUCACCCACUGAUAGGAAACAUGAGCUGAAAUUAGACCAUCGUGAGACAGGUU